rfam:Phlebotomus papatasi Contig5495.1, whole genome shotgun sequence.
UAUACCGCCCUUUUUAGGGCGACCAAACACAUACAUAAAGAGUUGA